GGCGGGGUUCGCGCCCAGCGGGAAUGCUGAGGGCAGCGAGUGCUCCCGAUGUCCUGAAGGGACUUUCUCCAGAGGAGGGAAUGAGAACUGCCAGCCUUGGACCAACUGCAGCUUUUUUGGGAAGAGCACGCUCCGAGCUGGCUCGGCAACGGAGGAUGCCCUGUGCAGCAGCCCUGGCCUGGAUCCCAUUCCCACGGGAUUCCUGGAAAACAGGGAUCCUGUUCCCACGGCGUUCCCAGAAAAUAGGGAUUCCGUUCCCACGGCAUUCCCGGAGAGCAGCUCCAACACAUCCGGUCCCAGGGAGAUUCCCGUGGUUUGUCGGGAUCCCGGCGGCCCCACGGAGCCCGGCUGGGGUAAGGCUGGGGAGGGAAUUCCUGGAUUCACACCAAUUCCAGGAUCCCACAU